rnacentral:rRNA from 1 species
UACUGUCUUGCCAAAGCCCGAUCUCAUCAGAAUAUCAGAAGCUAAGCGAGGUCAUGCCCGGUUAGUACUUGGACGGGAGACCGCUGGGAUUCAGGAG